CCUACGGGAGGCAGCAGUGAGGAAUAUUGGUCAAUGGGCGUAAGCCUGAACCAGCCAAGUCGCGUGAGGGAUGAAGGUUCUAUGGAUCGUAAACCUCUUUUAUAAGGGAAUAAAGAGUGGGACGCGUCCUAUUUUGUAUGUACCUUAUGAAUAAGGAUCGGCUAACUCCGUGCCAGCAGCCGCGGUAAUACGGAGGAUCCGAGCGUUAUCCGGAUUUAUUGGGGUUAAAGGGUGCGUAGGCGGCCUUUUAAGUCAGCGGUGAAAGUCUGUGGCUCAACCAUAGACUGGCCGUUGAAACUGGGGGGCUUGAGUAUGUGUGAGGCAGGCGGAAUGCGUGGUGUAGCGGUGAAAUGCUUAGAUAUCACGCAGAACCCCGAUGGCGAAGGCAGCCUGCCGGGCCAUGACUGACGCUGAGGCACGAAAGCGUGGGGAUCGAACAGGAUUAGAUACCCCGGUAGUC
rnacentral:rRNA from 1 species